UACGUAGGGGGCAAGCGUUGUUCGGAAUUACUGGGCGUAAAGGGCGCGUAGGCGGCAUGGCAAGUCAGGAGUGAAAGGCCUGGGCUCAACCGAGGAACUGCUUUUGAUACUGCCAAGCUAGAGUGCGGAAGGGGCAACUGGAAUUCCCAGUGUAGCGGUGAAAUGCGUAGAUAUUGGGAAGAACACCUGAGGCGAAGGCGGGUUGCUGGGCCGACACUGACGCUGAGGCGCGAAAGCCAGGGGAGACAAAGCGGG
rnacentral:rRNA from 1 species